UAAGGAAUAUUGGUCAAUGGACGCAAGUCUGAACCAGCCAUGCCGCGUGAAGGAUGAAGGUCCUCUGGAUUGUAAACUUCUUUUAUAGGGGAAGAAACCGGAAUUUUCUUGUUCCGUUGACGGUACCCUGGGAAUAAGCACCGGCUAACUCCGUGCCAGCAGCCGCGGUAAUACGGAGGGUGCAAGCGUUAUCCGGAUUCACUGGGUUUAAAGGGUGCGUAGGUGGAUCUGUAAGUCAGUGGUGAAAUCUCCAAGCUUAACUUGGAAACUGCCGUUGAUACUAUAAAUCUUGAAUGUUGUGGAGGUGAGCGGAAUAUGUCAUGUAGCGGUGAAAUGCUUAGAUAUGACAUAGAACACCAAUUGCGAAGGCAGCUCACUACACAAAGAUUGACACUGAGGCACGAAAGCGUGGGGAUCAAACA
rnacentral:rRNA from 1 species